rnacentral:rRNA from 1 species
UGAACGCUGGCGGCGUGCUUAACACAUGCAAGUCGAACGAGAGAAGAUCGGUGCUUGCACUGAUCCGAUCGAGUGGCGGACGGGUGAGUAACGCGUGGGUAACCUGCCUCAUACAGGGGAAUAACAGUUGGAAACGGCUGCUAAAACCGCAUAAGCGCACGGUAUCGCAUGAUACAGUGUGAAAAACUCCGGUGGUAUGAGAUGGACCCGCGUCUGAUUAGCUAGUUGGUGAGGUAACGGCCCACCAAGGCGACGAUCAGUAGCCGGCCUGAGAGGGUGAACGGCCACAUUGGGACUGAGACACGGCCCAAACUCCUACGGGAGGCAGCAGUGGGGAAUAUUGCACAAUGGGGGAAACCCUGAUGCAGCGACGCCGCGUGAGUGAAGAAGUAUUUCGGUAUGUAAAGCUCUAUCAGCAGGGAAGAUAAUGACGGUACCUGACUAAGAAGCACCGGCUAAAUACGUGCCAGCAGCCGCGGUAAUACGUAUGGUGCAAGCGUUAUCCGGAUUUACUGGGUGUAAAGGGUGCGUAGGUGGUGAGACAAGUCUGAAGUGAAAAUCCGGGGCUUAACCCCGGAACUGCUUUGGAAACUGCCUGACUAGAGUACAGGAGAGGUAAGUGGAAUUCCUAGUGUAGCGGUGAAAUGCGUAGAUAUUAGGAGGAACACCAGUGGCGAAGGCGGCCUGCUGGACUGUUACUGACACUGAGGCACGAAAGCGUGGGGAGCAAACAGGAUUAGAUACCCUGGUAGUCCACGCCGUAAACG